UACAUGGGGUGCAAACGUUGCUCGGAAUUAUUGGGCGUAAAGCGCUUGUAGGCGGCACGUCAAGUCGCGUGUGAAAUCCCCAGGCUUAACCUGGGAAGUGCGCGCGAAACUGACGAGCUUGAGUGCCGGAGAGGGUCGCGGAAUUCCCGGUGUAGAGGUGAAAUUCGUAGAUAUCGGGAGGAACACCAGUGGCGAAGGCGGCGACCUGGACGGACACUGACGCUGAGACGCGAAAGCGUGGGGAGCAAACAGG
rnacentral:rRNA from 1 species